AUUAAAUUUCUUUUUGUUUUGUACCAGGGAUUGAACCCAGGGCCUUAACCACUGAGCCACAUCCCCAGCCCUUUUUUAUAUUUUAUUCAGAGGCAGGGUCUUGCUGAGUUACUUAGGGCCUUGCUAUGUAGCUGAGGCUGGCUUUGAACUUACAAUUCUCCUGCCUCAGCCUCCCCAGCCACUGGUAUCACAGGCAUGCGCCAUCACACCUGGCUCAUGUAAAGAACAAAUUUAUAUAGUAGCAUUGAAUAAACAAGUCAAAAUGUUGAGAGAGGUAUGAUGUUAAAGCUAAUGUUAUUACUUUUUAAUAACACUGCAGGUUGGGCAGUCAAACAUUUAUAUAUAAAAUAUGAACGAACAGUUGUCAAUUCCUAUUUACUGUAAGAGUGAUUCCUCUGUGAAGUAAUCACCAUACAGUUGUCAACACAUGGUAGUUCUUAGCUCCUACUAUCAUGGAGGAUGUCAAAAAUCACAUUUCAUUCAAGUGAGAAUACCUUAUCAGACAAUAGGAAAAAAGGGGGGAGAGAGAGACCUGCGACCCAAAGUCUAUCUACGUUUCCAGAGAUGACACUUUCACAUAAAGAGUCUCAAAUUUGAUUCUGCAAUUUAUAUUUGGGGUAAAAAUGGGAGUUCAUAACCCACUUGAAUCAAAUGUAUGAAAGAUGAUAUGUCAUGAGCUUUGUAAUGUUUUGAACAACCAAUUAAAAAAAAAAGAGUCUCAAAUACGAUUCUGCUUCUCACCACCCCUCAUGGCAAAUGGAAUAUCAAGGAGCCAUUCCACGAUUUCAUCUUGCUGUUGAAUCUUUCACCCAAGACUUCCUACAAAAUAAGUCAGUUCAGGGCCCAGGUAUUACUAGAGGUAUAACAAACAUUAAAAUUUAUUAAUCAUGUUCAUCCAAAUGUUUUGGCCACUGUAAAAUAAGCCCUCAGUGAAAUAUGAACUUUAUUGAUGUUGUCAUUGUUCAAGAUAAAUUUAGGUUGUGACAUGCUCCUUUGAAUAAUUCUGCCCCACCUCACCCCCACCAUGAAGGGAAGUCUUCAUCUUUGAGCAUUUGGUUUUGGAAAGAGCCAGAAGUAAUACAGAGCUGCACCCUCUGUGUGAAUGAGGUGGGUGAGCAUAAAUAGGAAGAACAAGCACUGGGUAAGCUAAUUCUCCAGCUGAAUGAGAACACAGAGCUC
rnacentral:lncRNA from 1 species